GCUAAUACCGGAUAGUCCUUGAACCGCAUGAUUCAAGGAUGAAAGACGGUUUCGGCUGUCACUUACAGAUGGACCCGCGGCGCAUNAGCUAGUUGGUGAGGUAACGGCUCACCAAGGCGACGAUGCGUAGCCGACCUGAGAGGGUGAUCGGCCACACUGGGAUGAGACACGGCCCAGACUCUACGGGAGGCAGCAGUAGGGAAUCUUCCGCAAUGGACGAAAGUCUGACGGAGCAACGCCGCGUGAGUGAUGAAGGUUUUCGGAUCGUAAAGCUCUGUUGUUAGGGAAGAACAAGUGCAAGAGUAACUGCUUGCACCUGA
rnacentral:rRNA from 2 species